rnacentral:rRNA from 1 species
AGAAUCAACGCUGGCGGCGUGCCUAACACAUGCAAGUCGAACGAGAAAGUGGAGCAAUCCAUGAGUAAAGUGGCGCACGGGUGAGUAACACGUGACUAACCUACCCUUGAGUGGGGGAUAAACCUAGAGAAAUCUGGGCUAAUACCGCAUAAUACCUUCGGGUCAAAGGAGCAAUUCGCUUAAGGAGGGGGUCGCGGCCGAUUAGUUAGUUGGCGGGGUAAUGGCCCACCAAGACUAUGAUCGGUAUCCGGCCUGAGAGGGCGCACGGACACACUGGAACUGAAACACGGUCCAGACUCCUACGGGAGGCAGCAGUGGGGAAUUUUGCGCAAUGGGGGAAACCCUGACGCAGCAACGCCGCGUGGAGGAUGAAGUCCCUUGGGACGUAAACUCCUUUCGAUCGGGACGAUAAUGACGGUACCGAGAGAAGAAGCCCGGCUAACUUCGUGCCAGCAGCCGC